CUUCCGUCCCGAGAGCUUCUCUACAAACCCCAAGUGCUCCCCAUGGCUUCCAUGGUCGCCACCGCCGCUGCCUCAAUCUUGAUUCUGGCACUCCUCCUUGUGUCCUCCGAUGCCACUCCUACUGUCCCUAAGUGCAUGACGUACCCUGCACCGGUGGUUUCCGAGUGCGUAAACCCCGAUGAAUGCAUUAAUGUGUGCACAGUCCUAGGCGGCGGCACCGGAGGAUACUGCUCAUCCUACAAGGCCUGCUACUGUAUUAAGUGCUCAAGUCAAGAGGCUUUUUUCCUCGCACGCGCAGAUCUCAUACGGGUUCUCGAAGAAGUCAAGAGGCCGUGAAGCAUUCUACAAAGUCAAUUUCAGUUGAACAUAAAAAACUUUAGCUUGAAUGCAUGAUUGGGCGUCACUUGUUAGGAGUAGUACCAAUAAGUACCAGAUGAUGGGCAGCCUUCGAUUCGUGUGGUUAAUUAGUUUCUUUGUCUUCAAAGUAUGAAGACAGUAAUAACUCUAUUUCAAAUCA